ensembl:lncRNA
AAAAAGGUCAGAGAGAAGAAGGAUAGUGCUUUGUUAGUGGUGUCUGCAGGGCUGCACGAGGAGCCUUGAACAUGGUGGCAUUGGUUAUUUGGGUAAUAUUCUUGAAAACUCACUGGGAAACAAAGAUGAGGGAAGGAAUCAAGGUAAGACAACAAACUUGUACUACAGAACGUGAGAAAGUAUCAGGAGACACUUUACAUUUUCGGUGUGUAAGUGUAGUCCCAUUUCCAUCCUGAUUUCUUUGCUAAUGCAAUCAAAGAAUAAAUACAUUAUUUAGUGGGUGCAUGUGAUUAUUUUGCCUUUCACCGCCGGCUGCCUGCUUCAAAAUACAUAUUCAAGCGAUCAGCAACACCCUUUUUUAGUCUAGUUAUGUGAAAAAGGAAGCGAGGUUGAGCUGUUGGGACGCGUGCAGGAGGGCGUGGGGGUGAUAGAGUCAGGCUGGCGGUGGACUGGUGUAGUGUUUCACCAGGAAGAGCGUCACACUGGCGCUGGUUUUGGCGCGGUUUUGACGACGACUGCAAGAGGAGUGAGGAGUUCCUCCAGUCACCUGGCUCAGGACAGGAGCGGGGAGUUCCAGGGCAGCCACGAGCCCUGCAGCCACGCAGCAGAGCAGGCCUGGGCCUGCAGAGCUCCGAUUAUAGGACUCCAUGUGAGCCAAGGGAGAGGCCGGGCUGUGCUCCCUCUCCCUUGUUCCCAUCGUCCUCCUCUGCCUCGCAGGCGCCCGCAUGAAUCACACCGUCCUGUGGACCCGCUGAGACGUGUGAAAGAAAUGAUCCAAUCUGCUGAGCGUCGGGGUAUAUCAUGUGUUCUAUCCUUCAUUCCACCGGAGUCUGUAUCCAUGGUAACCAGAUUUCAGUGGUGUGAAGAGUAAGAGGCAUGGGGUUGAACGUCCAAAACCGACCAACAAGCCAGGAAGUCUUCUUGAGAUAAUGGCACCACAAUGACUUUCCAUGAUUGCCAAACUAUUUUCACAUUUAAUAAUAAAGGUUGAUGGGAAGUGUUGCAUAUGGUUACUUUACUUAAAUGUAUUAUUAGAAUGUGUGUGUGAAUUGUUAUCCUUGAGAUGUUCUGUCUGGUUGUGUACUACGAAUACUACCUAAAUAAAGAAAUGUCCUGACUAAUG